rnacentral:lncRNA from 1 species
AAUCUCUCAUAACCUGAUUGAACAACCUUAAAAUAAAUAAAAUAUAUAUAAAUAACAAAAAUAAAUAGGUACACAAAUAUACAAAUGAACGAAUGAAAAAAUAUCCAAGAGGUGUAAAAAAGGGUUGCAUUCAAACUCUAGUUGCUUGCUUGAGUUGCAGCAGAAGAUGAAGACAUACACAUUAAACUUGGGCAUGCUUCAAGAAUUGAUUGGAAACAGUAUAUAGCCACCAAUAACCCAACAAAAGUGCAGCCACUUAUGCCAAAGUACACAAUCUUCAGCAGCAGACCACCAUAUAAUAGAAGCAACUGCCGAAAAAGGAUGUAAAUGUCACCGGCAAACAAGUUCUGAAAACUCCAGGCAGUGAAGAAUAGAAGGAAAUACAAUACGGUACUCAUCACGAAUAUCGCAAAAGCCUAUGGUAAAAUUAAUGUUAGCUCCUCAUAAACACAAUCCCCCUGGCAACAACAAAUCACAAAAUACUGAAGAGAUGAGACAGCUGAAGGACACAUCUUCUUUGCAAAAUAGGAUCGCAUAUACACCGGUGUUUGCUCAGUGCCUUUUCUAAGUCUUGUUUCCAAGCUAUGAUCUGUUGAGUCUGCUUGCCACAAACUAGAUUGGCCAAAUCACACUACAUGAACAAAAAUUAAGAUACAUAUCACAAUCAAGUGGAGAAGCCCCCUCAUGAGAAAUCAAUCUUAACUCCAGCCUCUGCAGUACUUGGUAUUCUCAUCAACUGAAGCUCGAAAACCAUGGUAAAAUACAUCAAAACUAGAACUAUUUUUAGGCUAUCAAAUUGCAGAUUUACACAAUUAGACUCGCUAUCAAAUGCAGAAAAACCAUAACUCAAAGAACAAGUCCUUCACAAAAUUAAUGGUACCUUGCCUUAACGAUUAUAACAACCAAUGUAGUCCCUGAGUAACUGCAAGAACAAGUAAUAAUUGCCAUCUAACUCAUCAAGAGUACGAAUAAAAAAUGGCACCUGAUAUAUCAGAAUCGCUAUCAGAAUCACUAUCCCAACCAUAAAUUUCUAAACAAGAUGGAAGUGAAACAUAUGAGCCAAUUGCCAAAUAAUGAAAUCUACAAUUAAAUAAUCCCCCGAAAAUCCAAAGAAGAACCAAAGGACGGAUUCUGUAAACGGAAACCUCAAAGAAGAACCAACAAUUCCAGAUUCUGUAAAGUGCAGGAUGGAUUCAUCAACAAACAAUAAUCCCCCGAAAUCAACUGCUCCAGCCUAGGGAUGAAACAAAUCCAACAAAUUAGCCACCAAAGGACGGAACGGGAAACCUACGAAAAAGAACCGAUAAUUCCCGAUUCUGUAAAACGUAUUCAUCAAGAAACAAUAAUCCCCCCCAAAUCAUUUGCACCGGCCUAGGAUGAAAGAAAUCCAACGUAUCAGCCACCAAAUGCCGGAACGGAAACGCACGAAAAAGAACCAAUAAUUCCAGAAUUGUAAAACGUAGGAUGGAUUCAUGAAGAAACCUAAUCAUUCCAAAUCAACUCCAACAGGCAAAGAUGAACAAAAUCCUACGAAUCAAACAGAAACCUUUGAAGAAGAGCAAAUAAUUGAUGAAUUCAUCAAGAAUUCGAGAUCACUCCAAGGCAAGUGCAUCGACCGACAAUAACUCAAAAUCCGACGAAUUAACCACAAAAUAUCAAGAAACCCUUAAGUUUCACCAGAAGUGCAAGACCAUGAAAAGUUGUAACAGCAGGAGUGAUGAUUAACACAUUCUGACAAGCAAGGCUAAAGGAAAAAAGAUUAUCAAUACGAUCAAUAAUACCUCCAAAGGCGAGCGACCGCCUCUAUACAAAUCAUCUCUCGCAAACAUUGACGAUCUAUAGCACAUUAAUUCUGAUGACAAUUUAGGUUCAAAUCUGAUCCUAAAUAACAUACUAUUGAGAAGAUAAAAGUCAGCAAAUAGAGACAACCAUACAUAUGGAAAACAAGAGAUAAUAAAAACCUCAGAUCCCCCACAAAAAAGUGCAUCCAAGAACCUCCAAGAAACAUGGCUGCAAGAUUGCAAUAAUAAUACAGAAAGCAACGAACAUCCAUCCUAAACAAAAUGUUCAUAAAAAAUGUUGAUUUACACAAAUAGAAUCGCUAUCAAAUCGAGAAAAACCAUAACUCAAAAAACAAGUCCUUUACGAUAUUUAUGGUACCUUGCCUUAAAUUAUCCCAACCAAUGUAGCCCCUGAGUAACUGCAACAAGUAAUAAUUGACAUCUACCUCAUCAGGAGUAUGAAUAAAAUGACACCAUGUAUCAGAAACACAAUCAGAAUCACUAUCCCAACCAUAAAUUUCUAAACAAGAUGGAAGGGAAACAUCUGCGCCAAUUGCCAAAUAAUGAAACCUACAAUUAAAUAAGCACGACAGAAUAAAGCAAUUCAAAUACGAACCACCUUGCAAAGUACUCAAUACCGGGUCAUCCCUAAACAAGAAUAAUCUCUCAUAACCUGAAUAAACAACCUUAAACUAAAUAACAUAUAUAGAAAUAACAAAGAUAAAUAGGUACACAAAUAUAUAAAUGAAUGAAUGAAAAAAUAUCCAAGAGAUGAAAAAAAGGGUUGCCAUUCAAACUCUAAUUGCUUGUUUGAGGUGCGGCAGAAGAUGAAAACAUACACAUCAAACUCUAAUUGCUUGCUUGAAGUGAUUGGAUACAUUAUAUAGCAACCAACAACCCAACAAAAGUGCAGCCACUUAUGCCAAAGUACACAAUCUUCAGCAGCAGACCACCAUAUAAUAGAAGCAACUGCCGAAAAAGGAUG